rnacentral:rRNA from 1 species
GACGAACGCUGGCGGCGUGCAUAAAACAUGCAAGUCGAACGGGUCCAAAGCCGCAAGGCCGAGGGCUAGUGGCGAACGGCUGAGUAACACGUAGGUGACCUGCCCUGAAGUGGGGGACAACCCCUCGAAAGAGGGGCUAAUACCGCAUGUGGCCACCCAUUCAUUUGGGUGAUCAAAGCAGCAAUGCGCUUUGGGAGGGGCCUGCGGCGGAUCAGCUAGUUGGUGGGGUAAUGGCUCACCAAGGCUGCGAUCCGUAGCUGGUCUGAGAGGAUGGCCA